CAUAACAGCCAUAUCACCCUGCAGCCCAAGACUGGUUGCCCACUGAAGCUAAGCAGGGUUGAGCCUGGUCAGUACCUGGAUGGGAGACCUCCUGGGAAAACUAGGUUGCUGUUGGAA
rnacentral:rRNA from 1 species